rnacentral:rRNA from 1 species
GACGAACGCUGGCGGCGUGCUUAACACAUGCAAGUCGUACGGAAAGGCCCUGCUUGCAGGGUGCUCGAGUGGCGCACGGGUGUGUAACGCGUGUGUCAUCUGCCCCUCUUUUUGGGAUAACCAUGGGAAAGGGGGUCUAAUACGGGAUAGGCUCCUGCUGCAUGUUGGGUGGUGGAAAGCUUCGUUGGGUGGGGAGGGGAGCGCGGCGUAUCUGAGUGUUGGUGGGGUAGUGUCCUACCAAGACGCCGCCGGGUAGCCGGCACGAGAGGGUGACCGGCCUAAUGGGGACUGAGAGACGGAGCAGACUACUACGGGCGGCAGCAGGGGGGAAUGUAGCAUGGUGGGCGGAAGCCUGAUGCAGCAACGCCGCGUGGGGGAUGACGGUCUGCUGGUAGAAAACCGCUAUCAGCGGGGACGAAGCUUUUGUGAAGGGAAUGUUAAAAGAAGGACCGGCUAAAUUCGGG